rnacentral:rRNA from 1 species
UUGAACUUAGCUUGCUAAGUUUGAUGGCGACCGGCGCACGGGUGAGUAACACGUAUCCAACCUGCCGAUGACUCGGGGAUAGCCUUUCGAAAGAAAGAUUAAUACCCGAUGGCAUAGUUCUUCCGCAUGGUGGAACUAUUAAAGAAUUUCGGUCAUCGAUGGGGAUGCGUUCCAUUAGGUUGUUGGCGGGGUAACGGCCCACCAAGCCUUCGAUGGAUAGGGGUUCUGAGAGGAAGGUCCCCCACAUUGGAACUGAGACACGGUCCAAACUCCUACGGGAGGCAGCAGUGAGGAAUAUUGGUCAAUGGACGAGAGUCUGAACCAGCCAAGUAGCGUGAAGGAUGACUGCCCUAUGGGUUGUAAACUUCUUUUAUACGGGAAUAAAGUGAGGCACGUGUGCCUUUUUGUAUGUACCGUAUGAAUAAGGAUCGGCUAACUCCGUGCCAGCAGCCGCGGUAAUACGGAGGAUCCGAGCGUUAUCCGGAUUUAUUGGGUUUAAAGGGAGCUUAGGCGGACGCUUAAGUCAGUUGUGAAAGUUUGCGGCUCAACCGUAAAAUUGCAGUUGAUACUGGGUGUCUUGAGUACAGUAGAGGCAGGCGGAAUUCGUGGUGUAGCGGUGAAAUGCUUAGAUAUCACGAAGAACUCCGAUUGCGAAGACAGCUUGCUGGACUGUAACUGACGCUGAUGCUCGAAAGUGUGGGUAUCAAACAGGAUUAGAUACCCUGGUAGUCCACACAGUAAACGAUGAAUACUCGCUGUUUGCGAUAUACAGUAAGCGGCCAAGCGAAAGCGUUAAGUAUUCCACCUGGGGAGUACGCCGGCAACGGUGCAAA